rnacentral:rRNA from 1 species
UACAGAGGGUGCAAGCGUUAAUCGGAGUUACUGGGCGUAAAGGGCGCGUAGGCGGUUAAUUAAGUUGGAUGUGAAAUCCCUGGGCUUAACCUAGGAAUGGCAUUCAAGACUGGAUAACUGGAGUACUGUAGAGGGUAGUGGAAUUUCCGGUGUAGCGGUGAAGUGCGUAGAUAUCAGGAGGAACACCGAUGGCGAAGGCAGGUCUCUGGGCUGACACUGACGCUCAUGCACGAAAGCGUGGGGAGCAAACAGG